GGACAUCCCUCCAGGCAUCACCGUUUGACAGUGGGGAUGAUAGAUAGAUACAUAUAUCUGACUCUCUGUUCUUGUCCUCAGAGGAAGCUGAAGAGACCAUCCAAUCCUCUCCACCUCUCCAGGAGGUCAACAGGAAACACAGACUCCUUCCCAAAAGUCUGAGAGGAUUGAAGGGAUUAAGUAUUUUCCAGGGAGGAAGUCUGCUCCUGGUUCAGGGAGGAAGUCUGCUCCUGGUUCAGGGAUGAAGUCUGCUCCUGGUUCAGGGAGGAAGUCUGCUCCUGGUUCAGGGGGAAGUCUGCUCCUGGUUCAGGGAGGAAGUCUGCUCCUGGUUCAGGGAGGAAGUCUGCUCCUGGUUCAGGGGGAAGUCUGCUCCUGGUUCAGGGGGAAGUCUGUUCUGGAGAUGGAGACUUUACUGGCUGCUGGACCACAGAAUGAUGAUCUGGAUGAGAUGGAGAGGGGAGGAAGAGUUACUAUAGACAAUAACUCUAUGCUAUAGGGUUACUAUAGAGGGACUAUAACUCUCUAUAGAGACCUGUCCCACCUAACAAAGCUGAGUUUCUGAGUAUAUAACUGAGUGAUAUGAAUCUUGGUAAGACAAAGUCAUCUGAUAAACGUGUCAGUCAGUUCUCUAUAAUCCACUUUCAGUAGUUCUUUACUUUUUGAAGUUUCACUACCCAUGUCUGUUAUGGGUUUAUAUCCAUUUCCUGGUUAUUCUAUAUAUGUUUUCCCCAUAAACAAUGUCUUUCUCAUCCCCCUCAGGAACUGAUAGAGUUGAAUUGAAUGGAAUGAUGGACUAAUGUCUCCUGGUAGGAUCUGUUACAGACUCUCUUAUGUCCAGUACCUGAUCAUCAGGUAUAUCAACCAGACCACAGGACUAAUGUCUCCUGUUACAGACUCUCUUAUGUCCAGUACCUGAUCAUCAGGUAUAUCAACCAGACCACAGGACUAAUGUCUCCUGGUAGGAUCUGUUACAGACUCUCUUACACACUGUUUCCAUGGUAUCAAAUACAUCAUACAUGUGGUUUCCAUGGUUUCCAUGUUUGAUGCCGUUCCAUUGGCUCCGUUCCAGCCGUUAUAAUGAGCCGUCCUCCCCUCAACAGCCUCCUGUGAACAAGACUGAUAAAACCAUUUCUUGACAUGUUCAACCUGUCAGCUUCUAUUGUAGCUUCAACCUGUCAGCUUCUAUUGUAGCUUCAACCUGUCAGCUUCUAUUGUAGCUUCAACCUGUCACUUCUAUUGUAGCUUCAACCUGUCAGCUUCUAGUGGAGCUUCAACCUGUCAGCUUCAACCUGUCAGCUUCUAGUGGAGCUUCAACCUGUCAGCUUCUAGUGGAGCUUCAACCUGUCAGCUUCUAUUGUAGCUUCAACCUGUCAGCUUCUAUUGUAGCUUCAACCUGUCACUUCUAUUGUAGCUUCAACCUGUCAGCUUCUAGUGGAGCUUCAACCUGUCAGCUUCUAGUGGAGCUUCAACCUGUCAGCUUCUAGUGGAGCUUCAACCUGUCAGCUUCUAUUUUAGCUUCAACCUGUCAGCUUCUAUUGUAGCUUCAACCUGUCAGCUUCAACCUGUCAGCUUCUAGUGGAGCUUCAACCUGUCAGCUUCAACCUGUCAGCUUCUAUUGUGGCUUCAACCUGUCAGCUUCUAUUGUAGCUUCAACCUGUCAGCUUAUAUUGUAGCUUCAACCUGUCAGUUUCUAUUGUAGAUUCAACCUGUCAGCUUCUAUAGUAGAUUCAACCUGUCAGCUUCUAUUGUAGCUUCAACCUGUCAGCUUCUAUUGUGGCUUCAACCUGUCAGCUUCUAGUGGAGCUUCAACCUGUCAGCUUCUAUUUUAGCUUCAACCUGUCAGCUUCUAUUGUGGCUUCAACCUGUCAGCUUAUAUUGUAGCUUCAACCUGUCAGCUUCUAUUUUAGCUUCAACCUGUCAUCUUCUAUUGUGGCUUCAACCUGUCAGCUUCUAUUGUGGCUUCAACCUGUCAGCUUCUAUUGUGGCUUCAACCUGUCAGCUUCUAUUGUAGAUUCAACCUGUCAGCUUCUAUUGUAGAUUCAACCUGUCAGCUUCUAUUGUAGCUUCAACCUGUCAGCUUCUAUUGUAGCUUCAACCUGUCAGCUUCUAUUGUAGCUUCAACCUGUCAGCUUCUAUUGUAGCUUCAACCUGUCAGCUUCUAUUGUAGCUUCAACCUGUCAGCUUCAACCUGUCAGCUUCUAUUGUAGCUUCAACCUGUCAGCUUCUAUUGUAGCUUCAACCUGUCAGCUUCUAUUGUAGCUUCAACCUGUCAACCUGCUUCUAUUGUAGCUUCAUGUCAAUGUGCCAGUUUUUUACUUGACUUUGUGAAGUGUUUAUUUUGCUCUACUUGUUUAGUUUUCACCUUGAUUAUAUACAAAUAGGUCAGACGUUAUUGACAUCCUUGCUGAAGAUUAGCAAUAAUGACUACAUUAAAUAAAUACAUUCUAAAUUAUAAAAAUUUAAAAUAAUAUAAUUGCUCAGAGAAAUAUAUGUUUUUGUAAUGUAUUUCUGUUGUAAAAAGUUAGGGGUCAAAAUGAUUGACAGCCAAAAUCUACAGGAGUGUGAUGAUGUCAUUGCUAUGAAUAUAGAACCAGAUACUGACCUUGUGACUAGUUUAUUACUCUUUAGGGGGGUCAAUCAUUUAGAAAAUAAAUACUACUUGUUAAACUAAAUAUUUUAAUCAGAUCAAUCGUAUUAGUAUAAAAUAAUAUAAUUUACAUGUUGUUGAGCAGAUGAUAGAGCUCAGUAUUUAAAUUAUUUAUCUAUAAUUCCAGACCCACUGUAUAUUAUAUAUUGAUGUAUUUUAUACAGUCAUUAUUGUCUUCAUCAAGGGUGUCUAUAAUUCCAGACCCACUGUAUAUUAUAUAUUGAUGUAUUUUAUACAGUCAUUAUUGUCUUUAUCAAGGGUGUCUAUAAUUCCAGACCCACUGUAUAUUAUAUAUUGAUCAUGUAUAUACAGUCAUUAUUAUCUUUAUCAAGGGUGUCUAUAAUUUCAGACCCACUGUAUAUUAUAUAGUGAUGUAUUUUAUACAGUCAUUAUUAUCUUUAUCAAGGGUGUCUAUAAUUCCAGACCCACUGUAUAUUAUAUAUUGAUGUAUUUUAUACAGUCAUUAUUAUCUUCAUCAAGGGUGUCUAUAAUUCCAGACCCACUGUAUAUUAUAUAGUGAUGUAUUUUAUACAGUCAUUAUUAUCUUUAUCAAGGGUGUCUAUAAUUUCAGGUCCACUGUAUAUUAUAUAGUGAUGUAUUUUAUACAGUCAUUAUUAUCUUUAUCAAGGGUGUCUAUAAUUCCAGACCCACUGUAUAUUAUAUAUUGAUGUAUUUUAUACAGUCAUUAUUAUCUUUAUCAAGGGUGUCUAUAAUUCCAGACCCACUGUAUAUUAUAUAUUGAUGUAUUUUAUACAGUCAUUAUUAUCUUUAUCAAGGGUGUCUAUAAUUCCAGACCCACUGUAUAUUAUAUAUUGAUCAUGUUUAUACAGUUGAAUGGUAUUUUCCAUGUAUUGAUGAUUUAUUGUUUUAAUAAACUAUGACAUCAUUGUGUCAGAACGUGA